UACAGAGGGUGCAAGCGUUAAUCGGAAUUACUGGGCGUAAAGCGAGCGUAGGUGGCUUGAUGAGUCAGAUGUGAAAUCCCCGGGCUUAACCUGGGAACUGCAUCUGAUACUGUCAGGCUAAAGUAGGUGAGAGGAAGGUAGAAUUCCAGGUGUAGCGGUGAAAUGCGUAGAGAUCUGGAUGCAUACCGAUAGCGAAGGCAGCCUUCUGGCAUCAUACUGACACUGAGGCUCGAAAGCGUGGGUAGCAAACAGG
rnacentral:rRNA from 1 species